AUUGAACGCUGGCGGCAGGCCUAACACAUGCAAGUCGAACGAGACGCGGACGGGCGGGUAAUGUCUUGGCCACUGGCUGACGGAGGGGGUUAAGGACUGGAAACUGUAGCCACUACCGCAUACAAUCGCAUGGGCCCAGUCGGGAUUAGCUAGUAGGUGGGGUCUUGGCUGACCUAGGUGACGAUCCCUAGCUGGUCUGAGAGGAUGACCAGCCACACUGGAACUGAGACACGGUGCAGACUCCUACGGGAGGACGCAGGGGGGAAUAUGGGAAAAUGGGCGAAAGCCUGAUGCAGCCAUGCCGCGUGUAUGAAGAAGGCCUUCGGGUUGUAAAGUACUUUCAGCGGGGAGGCGUUACCCGCAGAAGAAGCACCGGCUAACUACGUGCCAGCCGCCGCGGUAAUUC
rnacentral:rRNA from 1 species